ACUGCCUCUAGAGUUGUUGCAGCUAUGGCACUUAUCACAUGUGUGUCAAUAGCUGGCAGAGAGGAAAGAGGCUAUGUCUACGCUCAGUGUUCUGACCUGUGAACAUCUGAAUCAUUAGUAGCUUAACAUU